rnacentral:lncRNA from 1 species
ACCCUACUUGACUUUCCAGACUCACCCCAAACUAUAGCUUAUCCCCUCUUCCGGCCAUACAUGUCCUAAGCAAACCCUACCUAGCUUUCCAUACUCAGACCAUCACAUCCUCCUCCCAGGCAGCCAUUACUGCUAAGCGUGUCCAUUAGGGAGAGCCGCUGUCAAAAGGAGGGAGGUUCCUUCCCUCCCCUGGGCCAGUGAGCUGGGAUUCCCUACAUCUGUGAGUAUGGGAAUGAUUAGGCUGGCUGUGUGCCCUGCACAGAUCAUUUCCAGCCCCGGCGCCAGAGGGAUUCUGCAGGAAUGCGAAGCUGGGCAUCAGUGUGUCCUCCUUGCAAGCCUGCUUUAAAGGACAAGCCAUGUCAGAUCUGGGGUGGGGGCGGGGCCAGGAGCAGAUGGCCUGGAGACUGCAGGAACCCCAGGGGAGCAGAAUCCGGAUUUCCUUCUCUCAUGCUUCGGAAAGGCCUUCUUUGGGGGAAGUAGUGGGAGCAGCUUCAGCUGUGUAGCCAAGCAAUGGAGCCUCGCCUGGCAAAGAGGCAGACGGGGUUCCCAGGCUUCUCUUCACCAGGGCAAAGUGGUUUGCAGGACCUGGCAAACUGCCCAGAGGGAGGUGGCUGUGGAGCCAGAAGGAUCCUGUUGUGGCAUCUGCUCUGCUGGCAAGUCGGAUGCUCACACUGCUGCUCUGGCCAUGGACUGCCUGGACCACCCUCCACCAACUCUACACACCCAAGUCAGCCUCUUUUUCUUAGCUCUACCUCACUGGCCUGGCUCACUGGGAUGCACCUCUGUUGUCUAAGUCAUCUAAAUCUCCUUAGAAGUGAAGCCAGGCGUGGUAGAGUACACCUUUAAUCCCAGCACUUGGGAGGCAGAGGCAGGUGAAUUUGAGUUCAAGGCCAGCCUGGUCUACAGAGUGAGUUCCAGGACAGCCAGGGCUACACAGAGAAACCCUGUCUCGAAAAACCAAAGAAGUGAGCGGUGCUUGUGCUACACCUGCCCCCAGGCAGCUGGCACCUCUGCCCCCCACCCCAUCUGUUACAAAGAAACAAAACAAUUGUCCUCCCUCCGCCAGGACUGACCUCUUUGAGAAUGAUAAAUGAUAAAUGAUAAACAGCACUCCCCUUUCCUAUCUAAGUAUCUCAUCUUGGAACCCUGAGCAGGGUACCCUGCUUUGAGCCGAAUCUCAGCAGCUAUUGAUUGUUGUGGGAGUAAAUGCAGAGACCUGGACUAACUUACCGUGGACAAUGAGAAAUAGACUCAUUCUUCAGAGAAGCAAGGAAAUAGGAAAAGACAAUCCCCCCUCUCAGCAUACCUAUUUGUGACAGGGACAUUGCAAGCUCUGCUUCAUCCAGGCAGAAAGUGAAGCUGGAGGGAGCUAAGGAUUGAUGUUCUGGGCACAGCAGCAUGCUGGGCACUGUCCCCAGUGCUUAGCACAUGUCAUGUCCUCACAGUGACUCUCCUGCAGUGCCCUUCGUUUGUAGAUGAGGAAAUGGAGGCCCGGAGAAGUGAUGUUAGAACCUACAUUUCCAAAGCUCAUCUCAAGGUAGACUAUGAUCUCUGCACCGCACCUGAGAUGAGUGGGCCCUUUAUUUCUAUAAUUCAUCAUUUUGUGCCUCCAGCACCCCAAAUCCUCUUGAAGAGCAGAAACAAACAAAAAUUGAUUGAAUCAUUUACACCACAGGUGGCAGGACCUAGCCCCUUGUGCAGGACAGUUUUCUUCCCAACGGCACUCCCCUUUCCAUAGACCCCCACAGUUUGCCUGCUGGCCUGAGUGCUCAGUGGCCUUCUGUGUUCCCCCAAUAGGUCUCUCAAGGGCCUCUGAGUCAGCGAGGCAGCAGCAAGGGAAGAAUGCUACUGCCUCAGGCCCAUCCACAGCCAAGUAUACAGCAAGGUAGAUAUGAGAUGGGCUCACCACACAUCUACAGGGCAGCCUCCUCCUGGGAUUCCUCACACAGGAAGACAUACAACUGCACCUCUUAGCAUCCCCAACCCAAACCUCAACCCCAACCCCAACAGCUGAACUGACUCCUAGCCUUCCCUCUGAAGUUCAAGCCUGCUAGUGAGCCAGACUGCCAUGUCUGCCCCUUGUUCUUCCUUCCAACUCUCACAGCCCCCUCUCUCCAAGUCACCCGGUACCUUCCCACUGCCAUAGUGGUGAAAGGGCUUCUCUUACUCUCCACAAUGUGAUCAGAAUCUUCCUAUCUCUCCUCCUUCCUGGAAUGCUAUCAUCACUCCUCCUUUCUUGCAGCUAUUGUGAUAUAAUGGCUGUAAGGAGAAUGUGUUCCUCAUCCUACCUGCAGCACGAGGCACCAAAUGCAAGCACGUUCAACUCGAACGCUUUGCUUUCAACCACCACUUUAAAACCCCAACAGAGCCGGGCGUGGUGGCACACGCCUUUAAUCCCAGCACUCGGGAGGCAGAGGCAGGCAGAUUUCUGAGUUUGAGGCCAGCCUGGUCUACAACAGGGCUAUACAGAGAAACCCUGUCUCGAAAAACCAAAAAAAAAAAAAAAAAACCCAACAGAAGAACUACACUGGACUAAAUCUGGGAUUUGAACACAGGUCUAACCCAACCUCAAUAGCCAAGUUCUUCCAUUUAACUAGUUUUCUCUUUCUCUGCCAAAAAGAGCUCCUUGUUCCUCCAAGACUGUGCUGGGUUAUGCAUUCCACAACAGCCAGGACAGGGCCUCCAGCUCCACCUCACCCUGGCUGUUCCAGGCUCUCUCCCCACAGGGAUCUCCAGUGUGGACUCAGACACAAGGUUUUCAGAGUGGCAAUGCAAAACAUCUCUCUUUGAAAGCACUUGCGUGUAGGCUUCCCUGCUUUGGCUCGCUUAAGACAGACUUGAGUGGCCUUUUAAUAGGUUUGUUUUGUGGUUGGUUUAUUCCUCUGAUGGGGUGAGUGGAUUUCACUUAGCUGUGUAAAGAAGGAGAGGCAGUUUAUGAGCCAAGUGGAGCGGCUGGUGUCAGAUGGGCUGAAGGAUGCUGAACGUUCUCACAGGUCUCUCCACCCCCUUGAGCACCUGACGGGGGCGGCUUUGCUGCCUGGUGGCUUUUAUUUUGAUUUUCCUUCAGCCUCUCAGAAUCUGUUUAACUCACCUGGAAAGCUGCAUAAUCUUGACAAAGCUCAAGACAAAUUAAUGAGUUGAUUCUCUCUUGCUGCUGCUACUUUCUAUUAGCCAGAUGGAAGACCCAGCAGUGUACUGUGCACUCAAAGACUGGAUGUACCUGUGAUAGCUAUUCUUGGUCAUCGGCUCAACUACAUCUGGAAUUAAUUAAAACCCAAACAUCUGCAUACUCUUGUGAGGAAUUUCUUUUCUUUAUUAAAUCAUUUGAAGUGCGAAGACACAUUUUUAAUCUGGAUCUUUUGAGGGGAGAAGAUUGACCCUUAACCUGGGUCCUACCUUCUGCUGACAGCCCGUAUAAAGGGAAUGAAGAAGGAAACUUGCUCUCACUCUGGCUGGAGGACCAUUCCUUCACUGGCAUUGGAGCCUAUGCCUUUGAGACCCUGGUAUAUGCUGGUAUAUGCCUGGUAUAUCCUGGUAUAUGCCUUUGAGACCCUGGUAUAUGCUGGUAUAUGCCUGGUAUAUCCUGGUAUAUGCCUUUGAGAUCCUGGUAUAUGCUGGUAUAUGCCUGGUAUAUCCUGGUAUAUGCCUUUGAGACCCUGGUAUAUGCUGGUAUAUGCCUGGUAUAUCCUGGUAUAUGCCUUUGAGAUCCUGGUAUAUGCUGCUAUAUGCCUGGUAUAUCCUGGUAUAUGCCUUUGAGACCCUGGUAUAUGCUGAAGAACAGUGGAGACAUCCACACUCGUGGGCUGAACAACGACUGGAUUCUUGGACCUCCCAGAGACAGCCAUUGUUAGACUAGCUGGACCAUAGCCCAUAGUCAUUCUAAUAAAUCCCAUUAUACAGAAAGUAGAGAGUUAGAUUGGUGGUGAUGGUGCAAACCUUUAGUCCCAGCACUCGGAAGACAGAGGCAGAUGGAUCUCUAAGAUCUCUGGUCUAUUGAGUGAGUUCCAGGACAGCCAGGUUCUACACAGAAACCCUACUUUAAAAACAAAAACAAAAAACAAAAUUAAUCGUUUUUUAAAAGUAGAGAGUUGAGGGCGUUUCCCAGGUCAUUCUGAUGAGUCUGAACUAUAUUUGCUAAAACGUGUCAGGUCAUAAUUUUUCUUGUCUUUCCCUUUUUUAUUUUAAAGACAAGAUUGGGAUUAAACCGGACUAGAUUGUAAUUUUCAAACAGAAGCGUAUUGUGCCUCCUUAAGUGACAUUCGUUCUGAAUGUGGCUUAGAGUGACUUGGAAAAACCCACUCUAAGGAUUUAAGUCAGCAGGAAUGUAUUGAGUUCCUAAUGCAUGGGAAGAUCAGAUUGCAAGAGAAAGCGAGGUAAGAAAUGUACCUCAGGAGGUUCAUGGCUGGCAGGAGAUAGGGGAAGCAUGAAGUUUCUACUCUGCCCAGGAAAGUGCUCCCUGACUUAGCCACACCCCUUUCCUGGUACCCUGCAGCUUGGUUUCUAGGAAGAUGGGCUCUAAGAACUAUCUCUCUGUCCUUUCCUUCUGCCCCCCUGGAGUCCUAGGUCUAUACUCUCUAACACAUCUAUUUACAUGUUUGAGUCUUUACACACUAGGUUACCAUAUUUAACAAAUAAAAAGGUGCAGUUAGGCCUAGUGGCAUAGGCCCACAGUCCUAGCACUCAAGAGACUGAGGCAGAGUUCAAGGCCAGCCUGGGCUAUGCCGCAAGACCCUGUCUCAAAACAAGCAGAAGGGUACACCUACAUAAAAAAGGUACCCAUUUCUUUUUCUUUUCUUUUUUUUUUUUUUUUUUUUUUUUUUUUUGGUUUUC